GGGGGCUUGGGGGGGAUUACUUCAUCCAUUUGGGAGAUUGGUCCUAUCCUGACGUGCUGGUCCCCGGGUUCCCG
rnacentral:tRNA from 1 species